GAUGAACGCUGGCGGCGUGCUUAACACAUGCAAGUCGAACGAAGCACAGAAAGCAGAUUACUUCGGUUUGAAGCUUUCUGUGACUGAGUGGCGGACGGGUGAGUAACGCGUGGAUAACCUGCCUCACACAGGGGGAUAACAGUUAGAAAUGACUGCUAAUACCGCAUAAGCGCACAGUCUCGCAUGGGACAGUGUGAAAAACUGAGGUGGUGUGAGAUGGAUCCGCGUCUGAUUAGGCAGUUGGCGGGGUAACGGCCCACCAAACCGACGAUCAGUAGCCGGCCUGAGAGGGUGAACGGCCACAUUGGGACUGAGACACGGCCCAA
rnacentral:rRNA from 1 species